GUAAGUGCGAUCACGUGAUCACCAAACCAUUACUUUUCAGGGUUUUAAUCCAGUGCCGGGAGACCCGGUUCUGUCAUGGCAGCAGCUUUCGGCUCACUGGGUCAGAGGAGGAGAAUAGCGAGUAUGGACAUUUUUAAUAAUUUAUCAGGUCGGCACCGUUGGAGUCGUACGUCUAAAAGUUUGGAAAGUCUGUGCAUCGUGAACCCCACCGACUCCCGGGAAGUCAGGUGUAAUAUAAGACGGGGUGUUUGGAGGGCGCAUCCCCGAGCUGAUCAGGGUCCCACCAGCCAAAGAGUGGCGAGAGAGAGUCGAGGGGUCGAUGGCAGGGCACAACUUUGUGUCUAUGAAGACAGAAAGAGGAAGCCGUCUGACACCUACAAGAUUACCAAGAAAAUGAGCUCUUUUAAUAAAAGAAUGCUACAUUUUGUAGAACUGUUAACUUAUGGAUACAAGACCCUAAAUAAUCUUUGGGGCUACGAAGGCCUCGUCGGGCUGGCUCAUUCCCUAAGACUAAUUUCCUUGUCCAAAUUCCAGACCAGCAUAGAUGUCGGAGAUUAAAACAAAGGGAAUUCUUCUGUGGAAUCCUGAGAGCUGGUGAAGCUUCUGCAUUUCCGAGUUUGAAGCCGUACAUGUGUGGGAGACACUACUGUUUGUACAAACAAUGAGAAAUGUGAAUAAGCACUGAAAGCAAAGAACACUGGCAUCCCACAUCUGAUUUGCUACACCGUGAGCUGACUUUUUGCUGGAGAUUGGUCCUUAUGGCUGGGGAGGGAUUCUCUGGCUCUAGACAGACAUUGUAAUUGUGGGCCUUCAGUGGGAUGCUCUGGAUGAGAACAGGAUAAUUCAGAAUCUGCAACAAAUUCAUCUUGGCGGGGCAGACAGUUUUAUAUUUCGACUUAUUACAUUGAGAGUGUCCUAUGUCAUUUAAUUGUUAAUCUUAAUUUUUUUUUUUUUAUGGUUUCAGUUGACCUGCAUGUAGAGAAAGUUUAUAAUAAAGCAGUCGUUUGAUCUUUACAGUGAAAGUCUGAUAUAGUUUAAGUGAUUUCAGUAUGCAUUGCUUCAUUAAAUGCAAUUACGACAUGUACCGCUGAUAACUGCAAAUAAUUAAACGAGCCCUUCAGAAAUGGAGAGCAUUUGUACAAUAA